rnacentral:rRNA from 1 species
UACGUAGGGGGGCAACGUUGUCCGGAAUCAUUGGGCGUAAAGAGCGUGUAGGCGGCCCGAUAAGUCCGCUGUGAAAGUCCAGGGCUCAACCCUGGGAUGCCGGUGGAUACUGUCGGGCUCGAGUCCGGAAGAGGAGUGUGGGAAUUCCUGGUGUAGCGGUGAAAUGCGCAGAUAUCAGGAGGAACAUCAAUGGCGAAGGCAGCACUCUGGGACGUGACUGACGCUGAGACGCGAAAGCGUGGGGAGCAAACAGG